AUGAUCUUGUAUCUCGGCGCAGUGGCCCUCGGGGAAGUCGACUGUAAUUGGACGAACUCAUCACCUAAUGUGCCGGCAGCGAGGAGCUCCGCCCUUCAUCAUCACAAUGACCUUCAUCUGCCUCCUCGUCUUCACAACAAGACACAGAUCUCAGAAACAGUCAAAGCACCAAACCUAAAGCACAAAAGUCCAAAAGUGUGGACGGCAGUCGACUCCUACACGCAGAGUGAAGCUGAUGCUGUCGGUGAUAAUCGAGGUGGCUGGAAUCCCGUCCAACAUUCAGGUGUCCUCACGCAUCCCCUGCAAACCGGGAGCAGGUUAUGGGAAUAUGUGUUCUGGGAAAUGAGGAACGGCGCUGCGUUGGUGGUCUCGAGGGGCGAUGGCCGGCUGGCCUCGGGCUGAAUACUCACACUGCUGUGACGGCUCAGAUCCAUCUUAAUGCUGAAGCGGUCAGGCUUUGAUGGCCUCUCUGUCACGCCGUGUUUGCGCCAGCAUCUGCAUUCCAGCGGCAGACGGACGGGUGGAGGACGGACGGACGGUCCUCCUCCACCGUCUGUCAGCGUCACCGAUCUGUUUGAAUAUGCUGCUUGAUCCGUCACUGUCAGGCCGCUCGCGCUUCUGCAUGCGCCGUACGCUCCUCUGCUGGGAAGCUGCACGCGCUGAUUUAAUGCACACUACGCAUCAGGUUGUCAGAGAGCGUCUGGGAAGGACGGGCCGUGUCGUCUGUCCUCCUGAUGGGAAUGAUGAACCCAUAGUUCACAACACCACCAACUCGUUUCUAAAACCUUGAUGUGCACUAUCUUGCACACCAGUUUAAUGCAGAGACUAUAGGACAGCCAUUCAUAGACUGAUUCCCGUGAAGUGGACUGAUGCUGCUCCACCAUUUAAAACUGAUACCAAAGCUGAUCAAACAAAUAUAUUUAUGUGAGGAUUUUAUUAUAUUUUACUUACAUUAUUUCACUUUACUUCACUUGACUAUCCAAAA
ensembl:lncRNA